rnacentral:rRNA from 1 species
CGCGGCCUAUCAGCUUGUUGGUGGGGUAAUGGCCUACCAAGGCGACGACGGGUAGCCGGCCUGAGAGGGUGACCGGCCACACUGGGACUGAGACACGGCCCAGACUCCUACGGGAGGCAGCAGUGGGGAAUAUUGCACAAUGGGCGAAAGCCUGAUGCAGCGACGCCGCGUGAGGGAUGACGGCCUUCGGGUUGUAAACCUCUUUCAGUAGGGAAGAAGCGAAAGUGACGGUACCUGCAGAAGAAGCGCCGGCUAACUACGUGCCAGCAGCCGCGGUAAUACGUAGGGCGCAAGCGUUAUCCGGAAUUAUUGGGCGUAAAGAGCUCGUAGGCGGUUUGUCGCGUCUGCUGUGAAAGACCGGGGCUCAACUCCGGUUCUGCAGUGGGUACGGGCAGACUAGAGUGAUGUAGGGGAGACUGGAAUUCCUGGUGUAGCUGUGAAAUGCGCGGAUAUCAGGAGGAACACCGAUGGCGAAGGCAGGUCUCUGGGCAUUAACUGACGCUGAGGAGCGAAAGCAUGGGGAGCGAACAGGAUUAGAUACCCUGGUAGUCCAUGCCGUAAACGUUGGGCACUAGGUGUGGGGGACAUUCCACGUUUUCCGCGCCGUAGCUAACGCAUUAAGUGCCCCGCC